rnacentral:rRNA from 1 species
UACGGGGGGGGCAAGCGUUGUUCGGAAUUACUGGGCGUAAAGGGCGCGUAGGCGGCCUACUAAGUCAGACGUGAAAUCCCUCAGCUUAACUGGGGAACUGCGUCUGAGACUGGAUGGCUUGAGUGCAGGAGAGGAACGCGGAAUUCCAGGUGUAGCGGUGAAAUGCGUAGAUAUCUGGAGGAACACCGGUGGCGAAGGCGGCUCUCUGGGACGUGACUGACGCUGAGACGCGAAAGCGUGGGGAGCGAACAGG